UUUCCGUAGGUGAACCUGCGGAAGAUUCAUUACAGAGUUCAUACCCCCCAAGGCAUACCUCCCACCCUUGUGUAUUAUUAGUUUGUUGCUCUCGCCAGCGCAAGCGCGCCAGAGAAUACCAAAACUCUUUUUAUUAAUGUCGUCUGCGUACUAUAUAAUACCUAAAACUUUCAACAACGGAUCUCUUGGUUCUG
rnacentral:misc_RNA from 1 species